UAAUCAAACUGCACUCAAGUGUUGAGACAUUUGUUGCACGCAAUAAAUAAAUCUUCUUCAAACAACAAAAAGUAGAGGCAGUGAAUAUGGUAUGAUAUAUUGCUCAAUAAUUACUUAUCCAAAAAAUAAAUAAAGAUAUACUGGUUGUUAGACCUUAAGUUAUGUGCAUAACAAAAGUCAGAUAAAUAAGAUCAUCAAAUUAAAAAGGCAACAAUAAUUACAACUAGUUCAGACAUUAUAAUGAUGACAAGCUUGUUUUAGAUGGAAAGCAUUUGUAGAUAAUUUGCAAUACUCAACUGCUUAAGACCAAGACUUUUCAUUUAAUGUAAACAGAAUUCUACCUACAUUACCAUCAGCUUGUCUUGCUCAUAAAAUUAGAAGACCUAAUUAGAGAUGGGGAGAAAAACUUAUUGACCAAAUCCCCAAGUAUUUUACACCCAAAACUACUGAAGACCAGUUGUUCCUCUGUGGAAAAUAUUUCUGAGAACAACAUUCUCUAAAAGCAGGCAAAAAGGACUGGAACUUCAGCUUUUAAUUGGUGCAUUACUUCAAAACAGUUUAGUCAAUUCUCAGUACAGCAAAGAUAUUAGACAUAAGUUUAUAACCAAAAGCUGGGGGUACAAGCACUGUAUCAAAUUGAGUUCAAUGAUCAAAUGAUUUCACUGCUGCUUAAGACAAUAUGAAUAAUUCGUAGAAAACUGAAAAAUGAACACAAAAUAAACCGAGAAAUGAAAGCAUUACCUUGACGAUGAUGAAGAUAAAUGAAAGGAGCGAAAACCCUAUACACAGAGAAGACGAUUUCACUUAAUUUCAGGCUCAUCAACAAAUUACAAAAACAAGAAAACCCAAAGUU
rnacentral:lncRNA from 1 species